rnacentral:rRNA from 1 species
UACGUAGGGGGCUAGCGUUGUCCGGAAUCAUUGGGCGUAAAGCGCGUGUAGGCGGUCCGGUAAGUCCGCUGUGAAAGUCGGGGGCUCAACCCUCGGAUGCCGGUGGAUACUGUCGGGCUUGAGUACGGAAGAGGCGAGUGGAAUUCCUGGUGUAGCGGUGAAAUGCGUAGAUAUCUGGAGGAACUCCGGUGGCGAAGGCGGCACGCUGGACCUCUUCUGACGCUGAGGCGCGAAAGCCAGGGGAGCAAACGGG